UUGAUAUCCCAACAAUAAAUGAAAAACAACCUUUCCUGUGCUUGGUACUGGCAUGCUUUUGGCAUUUAUUUAUUCCUCCCCCCUUCAGCUGAGUGGUGAGGUUAUUUCAUGCCUGGGUUAGCCAACAGCCUGCUUUGCAAGAGGCAGCAACGGUGGUGGAAGGACUUAUUGCUCCCAAAUCAAGGAUGGGAGGAGCAUCACGCCCGAAAGGAGCUGACGUGGUGCUGGAGGUUGCUCCUGUGCUGCAAGGACCCUUUCAGACACACAUCAGUGAAGGCACACUGGGAAUGGGACUGUCCACUACUGGAAGGCGGAAGGUCACAGGCAGCCCGGUCUCCACGAGGAGCGCUCCCUCCAAGCCACACACCACUUUCCUCGGAUCACCUCCUCCUCCUCCACUGGGGAAUUCCCAGAGCUCAAGCCAAGGCCAGCUGAAGGCAAGGGAUGUUUGUGUUGACCUCGGCAGCCUUGGACAAGGCUUCCUAGAAGAAGAGCUUCCUGGAAAGCUGACGGACAGAGAGAUACUUCCUCGGGAGCCAUGCUGCUGUCAGCCAGGCAGGAGUUUGGUAGGGAUUCAAGGAAAACAGUAGUGCGAUUCCUUUCAUUUAGCAUCCUGAGCAAGCCUGGAUAGAAGAGAAACUUCACCAUGAAGCAGCUACAGUGGUAAGAGGCUGAGGAAGAAGCCCCCCUGCUUAUUGGCAGCAGCAGAAAGUGGGAAUUGAAUGUACCAGGACUUUUAUCUCCAGCAGCUGAAGAACGAAGUGUUUGAACUCCUUCUCGAACCCUAACGGGACUCAGAAACCUUUCCCUGCAGCCAGUUCCUCUCAUUUAUGCUUUUCAAGAGCCAGCCAAUUUUCCUUAUAUAGGUUUCCCUGUGCCAUAAGGGAACACAGGGGAGUCAAGAAGACACCAGUCAGCACUAAUGAUGUAUGAUGCUUGUGUUUGCUCAGCUCCAGCCUCACUAAGGUGGAUGCACAUGAAACAGGGGCAAUGAUACUUUAUGUAUUCAUGCAGUCCAUAGAGCAGCAAAAUAAAUACACACAGGUAGAGCACAGCUCCCCUUGCCAGCUGCCAAAACAAGGUGGUGUUUCAUGGAUCUGUAUCCCUCAUGAGAGCAAGCCCCAUGAACGUUUCAUGCCCUUCCUCCAGGGAAUUUCAACAACAGAACAGAGUGGCAUAAUUCAGAGCCAGAGCUGGAUUUCCCAAGCUCAACCCACAGUCCUGGCCCAAACCUUCAACAAAACCAAGUGAAAAGUGCAUUUACAUCACCAGAAGGCAUCAAAAUAGGGUGGAAAAACCCCUGAGUACCUCUGCAUCUCAUUGAAACAGAGCUGUAGCGAGGAGGUGCUGGAAAUCGCAUCGGAAUGAUGCUAGUGAUAGCCUACAGUGCAAUUUCUAACAUAAAUCUCCUUGGAUGUGCCUGGAUCUCUCUCUGGGAGAAACAGGCUGAUGCUUGAUCCUGUGCAGGCAUUUCUCAGGAGACAUCACAAGCCCUUUCUCUCUGUUGGGUCAUUUCCAAAUAAUCCCCAAAUCAAACCGGUGUUAGAUGAGCCCAAUAUCAGCAUAUGGCUUUCAUCAGAUGAUUUCCCAGCUCUUUAGGAACGUGACUUCAUUGUACUUCACAGCAGCCCCUGAUGGGUUUCAGCAGUCUUUGCUCCGCCUUGCUGAGCUGGAAACUGAGGAAAAGGCUCUAUGUCACCUUUCCAAACUCGCAAAGCAGAAGUGGCGGAAUUAUCACUGAGAGACCUGAGCUCUUUGUCUCACGCUUCCUGGGACAGGCUUUCCAAAAUCCAUCUCUUUAAGAAGAUAUUUCCCCACAAAGGCAACUAAAGGAGCUAGCCAGUUGGAGUAGGCCAUUAAUGCUAACAUGUUCCAUAAAAUCACAAGCCUUCACUUAAUUGAAAUGAUAGAUUCUUACCAUGAGCUUUCCCAGCAUUAAAACCAAAGAAGCUCUUGCGGCAACAUAUGGGGUGGGUCUCCAGGCCAGGAACCAUCUCGUUCAGUCCUGGGAAUCCAACCUAAUGAUAUAGGACAAGGACAUGAGAUAUUGAUAGGACAUGGGGGAAUGGGUUUAAACUGAAACAGGGGAAAAUCAGGUUAGAUUUAAGGAAGAAGUUCUUUAUUAUGAGGGUGCUGAGG